CCUACGGGGGGCUGCAGUGGGGAAUAUUGGACAAUGGGGGGAACCCUGAUCCAGCCAUGCCGCGUGUGUGAAGAAGGCCCUCGGGUUGUAAAGCACUUUCAGUGAGGAAGAACGCCUGGUGGUUAAUACCCAUCAGGAAAGACAUCACUCACAGAAGAAGCACCGGCUAACUCCGUGCCAGCAGCCGCGGUAAUACGGAGGGUGCGAGCGUUAAUCGGAAUUACUGGGCGUAAAGCGCGCGUAGGUGGCUCGAUAAGCCGGUUGUGAAAGCCCCGGGCUCAACCUGGGAACGGCAUCCGGAACUGUCAAGCUAGAGUGCAGGAGAGGAAGGUAGAAUUCCCGGUGUAGCGGUGAAAUGCGUAGAGAUCGGGAGGAAUACCAGUGGCGAAGGCGGCCUUCUGGACUGACACUGACACUGAGGUGCGAAAGCGUGGGUAGCAAACAGGAUUAGAUACCCCAGUAGUC
rnacentral:rRNA from 1 species